UACGUAGGCAGCAAGCGUUGUUCGGAGUUACUGGGCGUAAAGGGUGUGUAGGCGGUUCUUUUAAGUUUGGUGUGAAAUCUCCCGGCUCAACUGGGAGGGUGCGCCGAAUACUGAGGGACUAGAGUACGGGAGAGGAAAGUGGAAUUCUCGGUGUAGAGGUGAAAUUCGUAGAUAUCGAGAGGAACACCGGUGGCGAAGGCGGCGAUCUGGACGAUGACUGACGCUGAGACGCGAAAGCGUGGGGAGCAAACAGG
rnacentral:rRNA from 1 species